rnacentral:misc_RNA from 1 species
AAGUCGUAACAAGGUCUCCGUUGGUGAACCAGCGGAGGGAUCAUUACCGAGUUUACAACUCCCAAACCCCUGUGAACAUACCAUAACGUUGCUUCGGCGGACCACCCUCGCCUAACCGCGAGGGCCCGCCAGAGGACCCCAAACCCAAACUUUGUUUUUUGUCUUACAAAUGAACUUCUGAGUGGAUUUUAUAAAUCAAAUCAAAACUUUCAACAACGGAUCUCUUGGCUCUG